GCAGAACGCGAAGAACCUUACCUACUCUUGACAUCCACGGAACUUUUCAGAGAUGAAUUGGUGCCUUCGGGAACCGUGAGACAGGUGCUGCAUGGCUGUCGUCAGCUCGUGUUGUGAAAUGUUGGGUUAAGUCCCGCAACGAGCGCAACCCUUAUCCUUUGUUGCCAGCGGUUAGGCCGGGAACUCAAAGGAGACUGCCAGUGAUAAACUGGAGGAAGGUGGGGAUGACGUCAAGUCAUCAUGGCCCUUACGAGUAGGGCUACACACGUGCUACAAUGGCGCAUACAAAGAGAAGCGACCUCGCGAGAGCAAGCGGACCUCAUAAAGUGCGUCGUAGUCCGGAUUGGAGUCUGCAACUCGACUCCAUGAAGUCGGAAUCGCUAGUAAUCGUAGAUCAGAAUGCUACGGUGAAUACGUUCCCGGGUCUUGUACACACCG
rnacentral:rRNA from 1 species